rnacentral:rRNA from 1 species
AUGGCCAAAGUGGCGUUCUCCCACUUCUCGGCCACCAUUGGCUCCUCCUUCACCCGUGAGCACACCAUCAAUCUUCACGCAUUCGACAACCGCCAUUUUGACCUACUUCCUCUUGAGGAGCCAUUCACCGAGGACGAGAUAUGGCUCGCCGUCAAGAAGAUGCCUACAGGCAAGGUGCCCGGCCCCGAUGGGUUCACCGCGGAGUUCUCGCGCUCGUGCUAG